CUCUCCCGAGACCGUGUACGCUGAACCUGAACCUACUCCUCCCGAGCAACCAGCUCCUUCCCCAGAAAGGUCAAGACCUUCGCCCGAACGAGCAGGUCCUUCAGGUCAGGGUUAUCAUGCCGAGGCCGUGGGAUCUCCGACUAUGUGGCCUAGAUUCAAUGCCAACUUUCCGUUCGACCUAUUCGGGGCCUUCGUAAGGAACGCUGACGAUCAUCGGUUCAGUG
rnacentral:lncRNA from 1 species